CCCGGACCUCCUCCUACCUCCCUCUUUUGUAUUCCAAUUAAAUUUGUUAAUCCAACAAUUCCUUUCCCUCCUUUUUAAUCCUAAUCUUUAAUCUUGAUAUAUUAUAACUUUAAAUUUUUACAUAUUAAAAACCAAUUUUUCCAUAUUCUUUUGUACCUGUACAGCUAGAAACCACUUAACUUCAAUCCAACAUCAUUCUAACAUUCAUUAAUUUUGCAAUAUUUCUGUAAAUAGUCUUUAAAUUUCUUCCAAUCUUCUUCCACCGACUCUUCUCCCUGGUCACGGAUUCUGCCAGUCAUUUCCGCCAAUUCCAUGUAGUCCAUCAUUUUCAUCUGCCAUUCCUCCAGUGUGGGUAGAUCUUGUGUCUUCCAAUGCUUUGCAAUGAGUAUUCUUGCUGCUGUUGUAGCAUACAUAAAGAAAGUUCUAUCCUUUUUUAACACCGAUUGGCCGACUAUGCCCAGGAGGAAGGCCUCUGGUUUCUUCAAGAAGGUAUAUUUAAAUACCUUUUUUAGUUCAUUAUAUAUCAUCUCCCAGAAAGCCUUAAUCUUUGGGCACGUCCACCAAAGGUGAAAAAAUGUACCUUCAUGCAUAGGUCUCCAUUUCAAUUCAUUUUUAUUUCUCCCCUCUCAUCUGCUCCUUCAAUUUAGAAACAACCGAGGCUUUAUUUCCAGAACUGAGGUGAUUGUGUUGCAGUAUCGUUUUAUAAACAGGCAGACCAAAAGCAAGACAUUCAUAUAUGAUAACGGUCUCCCCUCGGGAGGCUGCGGACUCUCCUUCCUUGGCAGUUUUUAAGCAGAGGUUGGAUGGCCAUCCGUCGUAGAUGCCUUAGCUGAGUUUCCUGCAUUGAAGGGUUGGACUAGAUGCCCCCUGGUCCCUUCCACCUCUGCAAUUCUAUGAUUAUACAAUUCUAUUACAGUCGUACCUUGGCUGACGAACGCCUUGCGACUCCAACGUUUUGGCUCCUGAACUCCGCAAACCCAGAAGUGAGUGUUCCGGUUUGCGAAUGUUCUUUGGAACCCGAACAUCCAACAUGGCUUCUGAUUGGCUGCAGGAGCUUCCUGCAGCCAACCAGAAGCCACGCUUUGGUUUUUGAUCAUUUUCUGAAGUCGAACGGACUCCCGGAAUGGAUUCCAUUAGUCAACUAAGGUACGACUGUACAGUUUUCCUAGAGCAGGGCUCUAGGCUGAGUGGGAUCCACUCCAGGUCUGUCUGGCCCUUGAGAAUCUCUCUAGGCAUCAGAACUUCACUUGUCCUCGAGUGCUUUUCUCAGCCUGGAAUGUCUUUUUCACUUGCCUGGAGAGGGAGAAAGCUCUGUGUGGCCCUGUGUCUAGACAUAUCUGACUUGCAAGUGGCUGCAAUGCAACCUGGCAUCCUAUAAAUAUGAAGAUCAUAUCCUUUGUGUCUCCUGGCUCUGCCUCUGGAGCCUGGAGCCUUCUGAAUGCAAAAGCAGCAGCUCUACCAGUGAGCUAACGUCCUUCCCCAAGGGAAGACUUCAUGGCUUCAGGCAGCAAAAUGUCUUGAACAGGCCCUGCUCCUCCUUCCAGGUCUAGGACCUCUGGAACAGCUACAUGUCUGGGCAGAAGCUCAGGUCCAGCUGUGUAGGCUUCUAGGCCUGAUUCAGAAAAACCUGUAAAAUGAACUCCUUGCCAGAGCUCAGGAGGCAGGCGAGGGGAUGGAGAGAAAAGGGGAAAUCCUUAUCCGGUCAGGGUUUUUUCUGCCAGUUUGUCUGCCUUCCUCAUUCUCUUUAAGCAAAUGAAUUUUAAUAAAUGGGAAGACAGCAAGUCAACUGGAGUUGUCACGGAAAACCACAUCGUCAGGAAAACUUCUCCUGAGAACAUGUGCGUUCUAGGCCUACAAAUGGGCAAGAUAUUCUUUUCAGUGGAAUGGCUCCAUGUCUUAAAGUCACUGUCCAGCCCAAUCCUUUGUAGCACCUCAGAACUGUGUUCCCCUUCCCCCCAGGCAUCAUGCUUUGCCGAAUCCACUCUUUUUCUUCUUUAAUAGGAGAGUUGCCUAUAUCCUUGCACACAAAGCCUUGUAAAAUUAGGGGGAGGGGGAGAGAAUGUGAUUUUAUGUCUUAUGAAUUUCAUGACAAAAGGAGAAAAUAUUUUUGACAUUGCUUGUAAAGUGUCACUUAGAUUAUCUGCAGAAAAGGUUGUAUAAAAUGCAAUAUUUUAUUCUUCCAAAUGAGCCUUGUUUAUUUGUGAGUUUGUUUGUGCGGAGGCUUCCCUUUUCCUGUUUGCAUAUCUAGAUGAUAUCACAUUUCAAUUCCACAACUCUUCCAAACGAUGGUGUAUUUAGUUAGGCUUUGGAAAGCGGUGGUUUUGUAGUAGAAAAAUGGGACAAUCAUUUAAUCUUAAGCAGCCCAAAUCAGUUGCAACCUGCAAGUAGUGCUGUUCUUCAUGAUACAACACUCCCAUCUUGUGGUCAUAGCUGUAGGGUGCAAAAUGCACAAUUUUGUUUUAUUUUAUUGCUCAAGUAGCUGUUAUAUGCUCUAGAGCGAUUUCUCACAACCUACAUAGCAGUGAAAUAAUACACAGUACAUAUUUAAAAUACUUUGAAUUCCCCCCCAAAAUGUUAAAUAUCAUCACAGACUGAAUUGGAUGGAGAAUUAGAAAAAAACAAAAACUUGAAAUUCAGGUGGAAACAUAGCUGUCCUGAACAAACACAUCUUAUGAGGUGCUUUUUUCUAACCUUGUUUCUUGCAACCCCCCUUUUUUGUCUUGAUAUUUGUAAUUUCAAAUUUAUCUACAUUAAUUCAUGACACUUUAGGAUUUUACCGUCAUUGGUUACGUUCAGAUGUAACAACAAACCAUGGUUUGGUGUUAUGUCUGACCUUACACCAAUUUACAAAAAGUGCUUUUGCAGUGGGACUGCCAAACCAGGAAAACAAAGCUUGGAACAUAGGAAGCCUUCACAUGCUAAGUCAGCGCAUUGGGCCAUCUAGCUGACUGGCAGGAUUUCAGACAAAGUAUAUUCCCAGGCUGAUUCAACCUGGCACAUUCUGCAUGCAAAGAAGCUAGUUUGCAAACCACACUUUCUGCUAACUCCUAAAUUCACAAACCACUGGCAAUCCACAAAAUCGCUGCCCCAAUCAAGAGCCUGCACCACAGAGACAGAAUAAAACGUUUGAAGCCUUACCAAACAGGAACUGAAAGCAGGCAGCUCUAAACCAUAAGAGUACAUUUGGAAGUUUGAAACUAUGGUUUGGACUACUGACUAUGGGCAUUGCUUUUUUGGGGGGGGGGGGAGGAAUAUAUAUCUUGAGAAAGCGCCAGCACAAAAUGGUUGCCAAUAC
rnacentral:lncRNA from 1 species